CAACUACUCCCUCUGUCCCAAAUUUCUUGUCUUAGAUUUGUCUAGAUACGGAUGUAUCUAAUACUAAAAUGUGACUUGAUACAUNUAGAUUUGUCUAGAUACGGAUGUAUCUAAUACUAAAAUGUGACUUGAUACAUCCGUAUCUAGACAAAUCUAAGACAAGAAUUUUGGGACGGAGGGAGUACUUU
rnacentral:pre_miRNA from 1 species